UUCUUUCAAAAUUAUGAUAUUACAUUGUUAUUGUAAUCUCUAUUUUUAUAUACACUGGUUUUUAUAUGUUUAAAAUGUUUUCAUAUGUCGUACCCAUUCACAUGAGUUUAAAACAUGAGACAUUGCGACUGCAAUUGUAUUUUCAUUUCUACUUUGCAUUUCAAUAUUUUGAGCAUUUGCGCUUCCCGUACUCCAGUCAGAACUAGUCUGCUGGAGAUUUGGGUAUGCAGUCGUCAUCGUCUAAUCUCAGUGGAUUCUUUGUUUUAUUUGUGAAUGCAGGUACGUUGUUUAUACUGUUAAUGAAUCAAUGCUUGUUGUGAAUUCAAUGGAAAAAAACUAUACGAUCACAACGUGUGAAACGUGUGCCAACUCUGUAUGUUGUUUCUUCUGCAUGAUUUUAUGUUUGUUUAAACUGAAUUGAACAAGCUAUGCAUUGUUUUAUCUAUGUUCAGGAAUAGCAUAGACAAUGCUAGCAGUCAGAACUAGUCUGCUGGAGAUUUGGGUAUGCAGUCGUCAUCGUCUAAUCUCAGUGGAUUCUUUGUUUUAUUUGUGAAUGCAGAGAAAUAAAAACAGUGAGAAGAGUU